AAUAUACUCCCUUCAUCCGGAAAUACUUGUCAUCAAAAUGGAUAAAAGGGGAUGUAUCUAGACGUAUUUUAGUUCUAGAUAUAUCUCUUUUUAUCCAUUUUGAUGACAAGUAUUUUCGGACGGAGGGAGUAGUAU
rnacentral:pre_miRNA from 1 species